UCCGGUAUGGUCUAGUGGCUUAUGAUGUCUGGCUUUCACCCAGGAGACCCGGGUUCGAUUCCCGGUACCGGAA